CACUAAGACUAAAUUAAGACCAUUAAGAAGAAAAAACACUCCAGCGAAAGAUCCUUCUUAACAUGGGGUCAUCUCCACCCUGUUGAAUCAUCCCAGGAUUAUCCAUCACUGCUGAGUCAUGGACCUCUGAGGCUUCCGCCACCUUGACUCUUCCUCUAGCCCCUCCUCUCACCGUGUACACCCAGUCAGUGUGGCUGGCACUGACCUCCCAGCACCCCUUCAUGUGUUACUAAAUUUGUCUCUGUCUCUUAUUUCAUCCUUUCUCCAUACCCCUCAUACAAGCAGUUGGCGAUCUUGGCCAGGUCCCCCAUAUACAAGAUGGUGGCUCCAAUCUUGCUGUUGAUAUUUAAGAAUGAAGAAUGGCAAUAAAGAAUGGAAGUUGUAUUCUGCCCCCCUUUUUAAUCGGAAAACAAAAUCUUUCCCAGAAACUUUCUGACACCUUCUCUUAAGUCUCAUUGCAGAAAGAACUGUCACAAGCUACCUCCAGCUUGAAGGGAGCCUUCCCCCUUGCAAAGCCAUCUGGGAGGAAGGGGCCAGGUCUGAGGAUUCUGUUGGCUGAUCUACAGUGUCCCAAUCAGUCCCAUGAAAAUGCGAUCCUGAUUGUUGAACACAGAAGAAGCCAUGUCCAGCCAUUGGGUCAGAGGGGCUCUGGGAUCCAUCUGAAGUUUUUGUAACUUGUGCCAAAUAUCUGUUAAUAGCUGAUUAACAGAUGAAAUGAUGUCCCAUCAGUUCCUGUCCCUUCUUGGAAGAUGCAUCUAGUUUUAUAUACUUUAUGAAAAGUUUUAACUAAUCAGCUAUGGAAGAGGGCUGGAUUUGCCUCUUUGCCUGUAUGAUCCCUCUUACCUUAGCAUAAUUAACAGAUUGCUGAUGUACCUUUCCUUCCCAUGAUAGAAGCAGCUAUAGGAUCAGACAUCAUUUUCAGCCCAUCAGUACUAUUAAAUCCCAGAUUGCUUCUGUUGGAGAAAUAAAACCUCUCUGGGGCA